GUCUGUGGCCAUACCACCCAGAACGCACUCGAUCUCAUCUUAUCUCCAAAGCUAAGCGUGGUUGGCCUGGUUAGUACUUGGAUGGGAGAAAACUGUUAUCCUACCUU
ensembl:rRNA 5S_rRNA 5S ribosomal RNA